rnacentral:rRNA from 1 species
AUGAUGUGUGUGCUUUGCUCACGUGGUGUGUGCGUGCGUGCGUGGCUGCAGGCGGACUCGGCGAAAUGGCUGGACAUGAAGCACGUGUGGGGCGCCACGUGGUGCCUGUACGGGGGCCCCACGGCGGGGCCCUUCUCCGUGAGGCUGACGACGCUGUCCGCCCCCAAGACGCUCACGGCCCGCGACGUCAUCCCCAGGAACUGGGCGCCCAAGGGCACCUACUCCUCCCGCCUCAACUUCGAGGCCUCGCUCUGA